AUGAAAAUCAAUGGGUGGAAGAAAACAUUACUUUCUACCGGAGGCAAGGAGAUCCUUCUCAAGUCUGUUGUCCAAGCCGUACCUACCUAUGCAAUGUCGGCCUAUAAAAUUCCUAAAAAAUGCAAAGGAAUUAUUGACCCGAUGAAGCAUUUCUGGCGGGAAGACGAGGAGAACCAUAGAAGGGUGCAUUGGAUGGUUUGGUAGAAAAUAUGUGUCCCUAAGAAUAAAGGAGGGGUGGGCUUUCGUGAUAUUCACUAUUUCAAUUUGGCAAUGCUGGCCAAAUAGGCUUGGCGUCUCCUAGAGAAUCUCGACUCUUUUUGUGAUACUAUUCUGAAAGGUAAAUACUAUCUUGAUUGUGAUUUUUUAAAUACGAAGUACUAA
rnacentral:rRNA from 1 species